rnacentral:rRNA from 1 species
CAGUAGCCGCGGUAAUACGAAGGGUGCAAGCGUUAAUCGGAAUUACUGGGCGUAAAGCGUGCGUAGGCGGUGAGUUAAGUCUGCUGUGAAAUCCCCGGGCUCAACCUGGGAAUGGCAGUGGAUACUGGCUCGCUAGAGUGUGUCAGAGGAUGGUGGAAUUCCCGGUGUAGCGGUGAAACGCGUAGAGAUCGGGAGGAGCAUCAGUGGUGAAGGCGGCCAUCUGGGACAACACUGACGCUGAGGCACGAAAGCGUGGGGAGCAAACAGGAUUAGAUACCCCAGUAGUCCCUGUCUCUUAUAA